rnacentral:rRNA from 1 species
AUUGAACGCUGGCGGCAUGCUUUACACAUGCAAGUCGAACGGUAACAGGUUAAGCUGACGAGUGGCGAACGGGUGAGUAAUGCAUUGGAACGUGCCCGGUCGUGGGGGAUAACGCAGCGAAAGCUGCGCUAAUACCGCAUACGAUCUGAGGAUGAAAGCGGGGGACCGUAAGGCCUCGCGCGAUCGGAGCGGCCGAUGUCAGAUUAGGUAGUUGGUGGGGUAAAGGCUCACCAAGCCGACGAUCUGUAGCUGGUCUGAGAGGACGACCAGCCACACUGGGACUGAGACACGGCCCAGACUCCUACGGGAGGCAGCAGUGGGGAAUUUUGGACAAUGGGCGAAAGCCUGAUCCAGCCAUGCCGCGUGCAGGAUGAAGGCCUUCGGGUUGUAAACUGCUUUUGUACGGAACGAAAAGGUUUGGCCUAAUAAGCUGAGCUCAUGACGGUACCGUAAGAAUAAGCACCGGCUAACUACGUGCCAGCCGCCGCAGAAA